CUUUCAGUACGAAAGGACCGAUAAAGCAGGACCAAUUACAAUGGAAUGUCCUUCAUACAAUGCACUGAAAAAAUCUAAAGUACAAAACAUAUGCCUAGGUACUCAACACUAGACAAGUGUUA
rnacentral:rRNA from 1 species